UCUUACCAACAAUCAAAGGUUGGUUGUUUGGACCUCUUCUCUCUCUCUUUUGUCCAAGUUUGGACAUGAAUUUUUCUCUCCCUUUUGUUUAAGAGUUGGACAUAAAUUUUUUACAUCUCUAGUAUAGAGAUUUGGUGUAUGGAUUUUAGAAAGAAAGAGAAGAAAGCAUUCUUCUCAUGAUCUCUAGCGUAGAGAUCAUCAUCCUCUUAUUCUCUUCUUCUUCUUUAAAAGUGUCUGGAGAGAAAAGAAGAUUUUUCAACUGUUAAGAUGUGAUCUCUGCAAGGGAACUAGCAUCUCGAUGAGAUCAAGAAGCUUUUGAUCAGAUCGAAGUCUCGUGUGGAUAUCUAUAGAGGUCGAACGUUUUGUGCGAUUUCAAGAGACCUUCGGAAGAUAUCCAUGAUCAUCAGUUCGCGGUGUAGAUCAAUCCAUGCCCAAGUAUGAAGAUUAGAUCUUUUUUAUUUAUUUAUUUUAUUUAAUUUCUGUAUUUGAAUCCUAUCUCACAUAUAUAGAUCUUGUUUAUGAUUUUACGAUUUGAUCUUAUGCAUGCUUAGAUUAAAUUAGAUUUAAUCUAAAUUUUUAAAAUUUUAGCUGCAUACUCAUUUCAAAAUUUUUGCAUGUAUGAAACUAUAAAAUUUCAACAGUGAUAUCAGAGUCA
rnacentral:lncRNA from 1 species